AUAAGAGGUCCAGCCUGCCCAGUGACGUUCAACGGCCGGGGUAUUCUAACCGUGCGAAGGUAGCGUAAUCACUUGUUUUCCAAAUAAAGACCAGUAUGAAAGGCACCACGAGGAUUAAGCUGUCUCCUUUUUCCAAUCAGUGAACCUAAUUCCCCCGUGAAGAAGCGGGGAUUAAAAUAUAAGACGAGAAGACCCUGUGGAGCUUAAAACAUUAUAACACCUGACUCCUGAUUAUAUGUUUUUGGUUGGGGUGACCGCGGAGAAAAACUCAUCCUCCGUAACGAAAAGCAAUAAGUUACAACUUUAUGCAUCAAAAACCUGACAUAUCGACCCAAUAAUUGAUCAAUGAACCAAGUUACCCCAGGGAUAACAGCACAAUCCACUUUAAGAGCUCCUAUCGACAAGUGGGCUUAUGACCUCGAUGUUGGAUCGGGGUAUCCUAGUGGUGCAGCCACU
rnacentral:rRNA from 1 species